rnacentral:misc_RNA from 1 species
GAUGAAGAACGCAGCGAAAUGCGAUAAGUAAUGUGAAUUGCAGAAUUCAGUGAAUCAUCGAAUCUUUGAACGCACAUUGCGCCCGCCAGUAUUCUGGCGGGCAUGCCUGUUCGAGCGUCAUUUCAACCAUCAAGCCCCCGGCUUGUGUUGGGGACCUGCGGCUGCCGCAGGCCCUGAAAACCAGUGGCGGCUCGCUGUCACACCGAGCGUAGUAGAUUUUCAUCUCGCUCAGGGCGUGCUGCGGGUUCCGGCCGUAAAAAGCCUUAUUUACCCAAGGUUGACCUCGGAUCAGGUAGGAAGACCCGCUGAACUUAAGCAUAUCAAUAAGCGGAGGA